UGGGGAAUAUUGCACAAUGGGCGCAAGCCUGAUGCAGCCAUGCCGCGUGUAUGAAGAAGGCCUUCGGGUUGUAAAGUACUUUCAGUCGGGAGGAAGGCGAUAAGGUUAAUAACCUCAUCGAUUGACGUUACCCGCAGAAGAAGCACCGGCUAACUCCGUGCCAGCAGCCGCGGUAAUACGGAGGGUGCAAGCGUUAAUCGGAAUUACUGGGCGUAAAGCGCACGCAGGCGGUCUGUCAAGUCGGAUGUGAAAUCCCCGGGCUCAACCUGGGAACUGCAUUCGAAACUGGCAGGCUAGAGUCUUGUAGAGGGGGGUAGAAUUCCAGGUGUAGCGAUGAAAUGCGUAGAGAUCUGGAGGAAUACCGGUGGCGAAGGCGGCCCCCUGGACAAAGACUGACGCUCAGGUGCGAAAGCGUGGGGAGCAAACAGG
rnacentral:rRNA from 1 species